UACGUAGGGUGCGAGCGUUAAUCGGAUUUACUGGGCGUAAAGCGUGCGCAGGCGGCCCGUUAAGACAGGUGUGAAAUCCCUGGGCUCAACCCUGGAAGGGCACUGGAAACUGUCUGGCUUGAGUUCCGGAGAGGAGGGGGGAAUUCCUGGUGUAGCAGUGAAAUGCGUAGAGAUCAGGAGGAACACCGAUGGCGAAGGCAGCCCCCUGGGCCUGUACUGACGCUCAUGCACGAAAGCGUGGGGAGCAAACAGG
rnacentral:rRNA from 1 species